AUUGAACGCUGGCGGCAGGCCUAACACAUGCAAGUCGAGCGGUAGCACAGGAGCUUGCUCCUGGGUGACGAGCGGCGGACGGGUGAGUAAUGUCUGGGGAUCUGCCUGAUGGAGGGGGAUAACUACUGGAAACGGUAGCUAAUACCGCAUAAUGUCGCAAGACCAAAGAGGGGGACCUUCGGGCCUCUUGCCAUCAGAUGAACCCAGAUGGGAUUAGCUAGUAGGUGGGGUAAUGGCUCACCUAGGCGACGAUCCCUAGCUGGUCUGAGAGGAUGACCAGCCACACUGGAACUGAGACACGGUCCAGACUCCUACGGGAGGCAGCAGUGGGGAAUAUUGCACAAUGGGCGCAAGCCUGAUGCAGCCAUGCCGCGUGUAUGAAGAAGGCCUUCGGGUUGUAAAGUACUUUCAGCGAGGAGGAAGGCAUUAAGGUUAAUAACCUUAGUGAUUGACGUUACUCGCAGAAGAAGCACCGGCUAACUCCGUGCCAGCAGCCGCCGUAA
rnacentral:rRNA from 1 species